rnacentral:rRNA from 1 species
GUCUACAGCCACGCCACCCUGAACAAGCCAGAUCCCGUCUGAUCUCGGAAGCUAAGCAGGGUCGGGCCUGGUUAGUACUUGGAUGGGAGACCACCUAGGAAGACCAGGUGCUGUAGGCA